ACAGGUCACCUGGCAGCACCAGGGCUGUCAGGGGGCCUGACUGCCACUCACGCUCCCUAGCUCCUCCUGCUCAUCAGGGAGAAGCUCAGGUGGAGCCAGCUGCAGGUCUGCUCUAGGAUUAGCAGUUCCAUGGCUUUCCCGGAGGGAAGGGACAGCUCAGAGACCCAUCCAGCCGAGCACACAAGCCACCCUGCUGAGAAAAUCCUUCUGAGUUUGACAUGGUCGUAUUGACUGAGGCACAGCCUGAGCUACAACAUUUCAAGGACCUUCAUGCCAUGGAGCACCCAACAGACUUUAAAUCCAGCCAAAAAAGUUGCAGGAGUAGAAGUCUUCUCAGCCUACCAUGGCACACACAGGGCGUGAACAGCAGGAGGAAGAAAGGACUCCUCUGAACUGCGAGCUGGCUGGAAACCCCCGGAGGGCAAGAAUCCGAUCCCUCCUUUGAGGAGCACGGGCCUGUCUGUACAGGCUGCGGGAGCAGGAGAGCUCUGUGUGUGCAGCUCCACCAACACUCACCACCCCUGCCUUGCCUUGCCUUGCUCAGGACCAGCCUCCAGCUCAUGCACGGGAAAUGGCUCCGCUCCUCCCAUUAGCACCCCUGGACAGACCUUGUCCUCCUCACCCCACUAAUCCCCUCCUCCAGAGCCAAACCUCUUCCCCAUCAACCACCUGCCCCAUGUGCUCUUCAGUAGCCCCAUCAUCCACCCAAACCCAAAUCCUUCUCUCCUACUGCUCAGAACCACCCUGCACAUCCUUCAGAGCUGCUCUGGAGGAAGAAAUCCUUCACGCAACAAAUCUUGGCAGGAACAACCAUCCACCUAUUAUUUUACAUUUACCAAUACCCCACCAAAUCCUCUGCCCUGGAUGCAGCCAUUCUGCAGAUGCCAUAGUAACACUUUUAAAAAGACAUCCUUAGAAUGGACACAACAUGUCCCUUAGGAGCAAGGAAUCUGCUUAUCAACACUGAGUUUGAGAAGCCAUGUCCACAGAUUUUCCAGCCCUAGGAAGAAGAAACAUCCUUCCCUAAGCAGCCAGUCCUGCUCUGGAUCAGUCCCAUCUGCUUCCCAAGAGGACCAAAGUCCUUCAAAGUUCUUUAGAUCUAGUAAAAUAACAAAUACAUUAAAAAAAAAAAAAAACACCAACAAAAAAACAACCGCACCCAAACAAAAAACGAGCAACAAUGGAGAACGGUUUGAAAUCCCCCUGACAGUCUCUGCAUUCCAGUUCAGGUAAUACCACAGGCCCACCAGCAUCUCCAGACUCAGCUGUGCCAUCCUGAGCAGUCCAACUGGGACAGAUCCAUUCCAGCACCAUUUGUGUCCCACAUCCAGGAAAACCCAUGGGUGUGCUGGUUACCCCUCUGUUUCCUUUCUCCCUCUGCUCCCCCACACAGCUUUCACAGCCUCUCAUGCAGUGCCUCCACUACUGAUAUUUAUAUAAAAUAUACAAAGGGCUGCUCCCAGUGCUUAGUGCCAGCAACUGAGCAGGGAGAAGGCAAAGUCAGUGGACCUGGGGAAGGAAGCAAGAAGGUGAGACUCCCUAUUCCUGCACCUCAGCAUUGCCAACGCCUGUGUGCUGCAGUUCCCUUUAUCCCACAGAAUCCUGGAGCAGACCAGGCUGGAAGGGAGC